rfam:Gossypium raimondii Chr07_contig_571, whole genome shotgun sequence.
UAUUAAAUAAAUUCAUCCAUUUUUAUUGUUAUAAAUCAGUAUGGUUGAUCGAAUGACCAAAUAGUUACACGUGACAUACUACAUUUAUCUCAUGUUGACAUACAUAGGCCAAUUUUUAAUAGUAGAAAUUGGUGAAUUUUUUAACA